GCGGGCUUAGUCUAGUGGUUAUGAUGUCUGCUUUACAGUGUCAACUGUCAAGCGCAGAAGGUCGGGAGUUCGAUCCUCCCAGCCCGUA